GCCUUCUCCAGUCUGCGGUGCUGGCUGUGGCUUACUUUUCUCUCCUCAAAGCGACAGUUAGGAAGUGGAGAGGCAUUCUAUGAGUGUUCUCGUCGGUUCUGUUUUGGAAGCUUCAGAAUCUUCUCGGGUUGGCUCAGAUUGCUGCAAAAUAAAAGCUGUACUUCUUGGGGCCAGAGAGGCACCGUCCUUCGGGGGACUCUGGCCCGCGUCCUGGCUCCGCCCCGUACUGGCCUCGGACCUCGGGGAGCGUUUUUAUCUGAAGUUUCCACGUCGGAAAGGGAUCGUAGUCUACCGAGAGCUGUUCCGAGCCCAGAGGAGAAAUUGUGUGGUGCUAAAUAGCUAUUCAUCUCCCUUAUACCGGAAAGCGUUGUAAUGAUAAGCCGACCUAACCUGUUGGGGAUUUUUUCUGGAAACCUUUUAAGACAGUUCAUGUUAUUGAGUUCUGAAUAUUAGGCUAUAUUGCAAGGGGCUUUUUAAAAUCCACGUAGCAACCCUAUGAAAUCAGAAAUUGCCCUCGUUUUACAAAUGAGUUAAAUGAGACCAAGUAAAAGGUUAAACAGCUUGUCUAGUAAGCUGGGAUUUGUUCCCAGGCGGUCUAGCUCCAGAUUGCAUGCUUUUAAAUACUAGGCUUCAUGCAUAGAAUCUAGUAUUAUUAGCCGAUCCUAUUAUUAGUAUGUAUUGUUCUUUAGGAAGAAAAAACGUGUCAGGAUUGCUCACGUUUCCAAGCACGUUGAUACUUAAGAGUUAGGAAGGGCUUAACUCCGAAUGGGUAUGGUGUUACCCUAAGUGAGGUUCAAAAAGAUGGUGUGGGCAACAAUGCUAUUUUGGAAUGGCUUGAUCCUUUUGGGCUUCCAUAACAAAAUAUCCUAGACUGGGUAGUUUAUGAACCACAGAAGUUUAUUCUUCACAUUUCUGAAGGCUGGAAUGUCACAGAAUAAGGUGUGUCUAGGGAGGGGUGCUUUCUCUUUAGUGGAUAGCACCUUCUGGCUCUGUCCUCGCAUGGUGGAGAGGCAGAGGCCCUCGCUUGGGCCUAUUUUAUAAGGACCUUAAUCCCAUUCCUCACUUCCCAAGAUGCCACUUGCUAAAACCGUCAGUUCGGGAGUUAGGAUUUCAAAAUGUGCAUUUUGAGGGACACAUUUAGACCAUAGCGUAGGUCAUGUUUUUAAAGUUGCUUUCUUGGCCCUGGAAUGGCAAUGCAGUCAUCUGAAUUGGUCUUAACCUACCAGGAAUGGGCUUAUAUUUUGAAAAUAUUUCUCGAUAAGGGAGUAAAAUAAGUUGUAUGGGUUUUUUGUUUAAGAAAGGAUUCCUUUGUUUACUCUGGUAUGCUUAUCCACUUCUGUGAUGUCAACCAUGGGUAGUGACCUAACAUUAAUUUAAUUCAACAGAUAUCUUUGUCUGCCUUGAUUCCUGCAUCCCCUGGGCUCCACAGCUAUUCACUUGUAUUGAUUCUGUUAACUCUUACACAUUAACUUUGAGCUGUGUCUCCUUCCUUUUAUCAUUUUGUGAGUAAAGAAUUUUAAUUUGCCAACAAAUCCUAAUGUGGACUUUGUCACGUUGUGAAAUAAAGUGAUUUUUUGGUAUGGAAAUAUGUGUUAAGACAGACUGUUAGUCUUUGCACUUUAACAACUAGCUGAUACACUUACGUCACAUGGAUGAAAACAUACACAAGUGCACUGUUGUUGGAUAAGGACUCCUGGGUGGUUAGAAGAAUGUGCAGAUCUAACUACUCCCAUUAAGACCAUUGAUUAAAAUGAAAAAUGCUUAUAAAGGUGGAGAUCUCUCAGUUUUAGUCUUAUUGCGUGCCAGAAGCACUAAGGAAUUGCUGCUAAAUAUAAGACAAAUGGACUUGAGGAAAUCACUGAUGACUAACUUGAAACUCUGCCUCCUGAGAUCACACAGGUGAGUGGAAAAAACCAAGGCACAAAGCCAGUGAAGCCCCCUAAUUUGGAGAUGUGAGGGGUAGAAACAGAGAGUAUAGGGUAGAUGCAGUGUACAGAAAACACUGUUCUUGCUUCAUCACCAUGGAUUAAAAUCGUUUGAAAGCUUCAACGCUAGCGGGCAGUGUUUCAAGCAGAAAUCUGGCAGCUAGUGGAGUCUGAGUCCUUAUAUGGAAGGCAUCAUCAGUACCAGCAAGGACACACAUACAGCCACAAAGCAAGACCUAGGAGAAAUAUUUGGUGCUCUACUCUCCUAGGGAACUGGAAGGAACCUGCUCUCUCCUGGGUAUACUUUUCUAAUUUUAGAGUGCUAAAGAAGCUCUUCUCACAGGGACCCGAGUGAAUCCUUUCUCCUUGGAACAAAGGACAAGAAAAAAAGAAAGGACUUUACCGCAGAAAUGAUGAAGAUCAUGUCUCCAAGUCUUUUCUGCCGUUGCCAGUAUUCUCUCCCAAUCUCCUGUGGGCAACUUCUUCGGGAAAACACUCAUGCAAUUUCAUAAGGACAAGCGAAAAUAUGAAGAAGCUGGAUCUUGGAACUAGGCUUUGAUCACAGAGCGGAGCUGAGAUGAAAGUCCAUCCACUCAUUCAACAAAUAAUUGAGUACUUACAAAAAUUUCUGCUGUAUGGAGCUUAUAUAGUAGUGAAUAUCAAUUCUUAUUUUAUGGAUUAUAAAACAGAACUUUUUGCAACAAUUUUACACUACCCUAGGGGUACCUAUGAGUCUUCAUGCCUCAAGUAAUUGUCCUGUCCAUGUGACUAUGGAAGCCCUGAAAUCUUUGAAACCCCAGAUGACCCAUUUCACCAGACGCUUGGACAUUCUCCGUCGAGUUUGGAUUUAUAGACACAAUUGGAGAAAGUGAUUAUUUUACUAAGGCUUUGACUGGAAUGGCAUGCUUAACCUUUAGAACCAGUAAAGGCCCCUUGGGAAAACUGGCCUCAUAGCUUGUCUAUGAAGUCCCUGUACAGAGUUCUUGACCUGUGGUAUGUAAAGAAUGUAAUUUUCUGACAGACCCAGGAGCCCCAGGUUAUCUUGAGACCUCAAGAGGAGCCAACUCACAUAGAUGCCACAUUUUGUUGGAACUCAGAGUUAUGAGUGGCCCUCGCCAUACCUACACUUUCUGACUGAGCUCCUCUCUACCCUGAAUACAAGAGACCCUAAUAGGCAGGAAUAUCAUCACCCCUCUUCAGCCUGAAGAUGUUACAGAAGAUGGAUAUUUGUCCGUUUACAACCCUUAAGAUUAAGGGUUCCCCUGUAAAAGGGAGGGGGAAAAUAUGUCAGAGAUGUUUGAACCAGAGCAACUUCGUCCUGAAUAGUGGCUCGGUAAAGUGAGGCUGACACCUAUGGACUGCAUUCCCAGGAGGUUAGGCAUUCUUAGUUACGGGAUGAAAUAGGAGUUUGGCACAAGAUGGGUCAUAAAGACCUUGCUGAUAAAAGGAUGUGGUACAGAAGCUGGCCAAAACUCACCAAAAUCAAGAUGUGAUGAAAGUGACUUCUGGUAGUCCUCACUCCUCAUUACACUAAUUAUAAUGCAUUAGCAUGCUAAAAGACACGUUCACCAGCACCAUUAUGGUUUACAAAUGCCAUGGCAAUAUCAGCAAGUUACCCUAUAUGGUCUUAAAAGGGGAGGAACCCUCAGUUCUGGGAAUUGCCCACCACUUUCCCAGGAAACUCAUGAAUAAUCCACCCUUUAUUUAGCAAAUAAUCAAGAAAUAACUAUAAGUAUAAUCAGUUGAGCAGCCCAUGCCACUGCUCUGCCUGUGGAAUAGCCACUCUUUUAUUCCUUUACUUUUUUAAUAAACUUGUUUUCACUUUAC
rnacentral:lncRNA from 1 species